rnacentral:rRNA from 1 species
CCUACGGGAGGCAGCAGUGGGGAAUAUUGCACAAUGGGGGAAACCCUGAUGCAGCGACGCCGCGUGAGUGAAGAAGUAUUUCGGUAUGUAAAGCUCUAUCAGCAGGGAAGAUAAUGACGGUACCUGACUAAGAAGCCCCGGCUAACUACGUGCCAGCAGCCGCGGUAAUACGUAGGAUGCGAGCGUUAUCCGGAAUUACUGGGUGUAAAGGGAGCGCAGGCGGGACUGCAAGUUGGAUGUGAAAUACCGCAGCUUAACUGCGGAGCUGCAUCCAAAACUGUAGUUCUUGAGUGGAGUAGAGGCAA